UACGUAGGGGGCAGGCGUUGUCCGGAUUUAUUGGGCGUAAAGAGCGUGUAGGCGGCCAGACAGGUCAGCUGUGAAAACUCGAGGCUCAACCUCGAGACGUCGGUUGAAACCGUCUGGCUAGAGUCCGGAAGAGGAGAGUGGAAUUCCCGGUGUAGCGGUGAAAUGCGCAGAGUAUCGGGAAGAACACCCGUGGCGAAGGCGGCUCUCUGGGACGGUACUGACGCGUGAGACGCGAAAGCGUGGGGAGCGAACGAGG
rnacentral:rRNA from 1 species